UAGCAAAACAAAAAAAAGUAUGACACAUUAUAUAAACGUUAUAAUGCUAUAUUUUUCCCAUCUUCAGGUGUAGCUGAACGAUUAACCUUUAAAAUAAAUAAAUAAACUAAUUUCAGUUUGAAACACUGUCCCCUUUACAAGCUUUCAACCAUGUAAAAUGCCUGUAAAGGAGUUCGACCAAUCAGAAGUGUCCAAACACAACGUUGUGUACGUGACAACACAUCAGCAACUACUACCCAGCUACCACACAGCUCAGGCUCUAUGUCAGUUGUUGUCCUGCGAUAACCGUACAUCUGGCUGUAGUUUGACUGACUGUGGGUGUCAGAAACUGUGUAUUUACGCUGAUUUUCUUCAAAUAGGAGUAAGAGACGAUUGUAUUUUUACAGUAGAGAUAGUUGAUGCAGACAACUCGGAGCCUGAUCAGUGUUUCCCACACAUAUGUGAUACUUGGGCACUGGUGAGCAGCGAGAAAGAGGGGCAGGGCACAGCAGUAGUGACAUAAACGAAUGAGACGGACGAUGUGAGGAGACCUGAUGAAGCUUCUUCUUUCACUGUUAGCUUGGACGUUAAUUACCAUAUAAGCUUGGGCUGGGCUUGAGACCCUCAUAAUCUGCACACUUUGUGUGGCUAUAGCAGAGAACAGAACCAUGACCAACCGUAACCAAUGAAGAGUACAGUGUCCUGGACGACAGUACAGUAUUGCUUAUGCUAAUAGAGACUGAUUUAUUGAAUAAGUCAUUGAUGACAACUCCCCAUGGCUAGUUUGCAUUUAUUGAGCACGUAACACAUCCGGCUUCCCGUUUAACUACGCAGAAUAAUCCACUUUAACCAGGUUCACUCAACAUAUUCUGAAUGCUGGAAUGUAAGCAACAGAUAAACAUUGUCCAAUUUUUGUUGUGAAUGUUAUGUGUUAUGUGAAAGUUUGGAGGAAUACCUUUCAACCUAAUCAGACUAUUUAUAACUUACCUGUGCUCAAGUGAUUAGCAAGGAGCUUCUCACAACUCGCUCUCCUCUUUAUCAGGGGCUGAAAACUGCAAUCUAGAAAAAGUUUUCUAAUAAAUUUUCAGGGUGCUUUUAUUUUUAUUUAAAUCAGUGGUUUUUACUCUUGAGUGAGAGGUAUGAUUUUUGUACUGUAACAUGCUUAUAUUUAGGAUUUCAUGUCAAUAUAGAUUAUAUAAUGAUUGGGAGGUCGCUAUGCUUUCAGUGCAAAGAAAACUCCGCCUCCUAGAUUUACCUCAUUACAAACAGACGAAGUGCGUAUUUGUUUGCGCCAAAUCUGAAUCAAUCAAUCGUAUGUUUUGAUUUGGAAAUUCGUUAAACAAAAGCUGAAUCGCGUUCAUGCACAAAUAGUAAACCCAAUAGUUAUUACGUCAAUAUUAAUUUGAUGGGAAAUUACAGUUGCAGGAAAUGGAGCAGUAUUGUUAGUUCCAGGAGUCAGUAAGUGAGCUGGGUGUAGUGACCGAGGAGAUUCAGAUCCAGAAACCCUAACACCAUUGACCUACAACAACCCCAGAGCCCCAAUCAUACAUUUCAGUGGGAAACACUAAGUGCUAGAAAAUAAUCACAACUUAAAUUGCAAUCAAUAAAACAAUAUUAUUCAGAUUUUGAUAUGUCCCCAAAAUCCUCAUUCAGCCUUAUCGCUACAUGAAACGUAAAGGUAUAGAUCAGCCAAAAAUGCUAACACGAAGAUCAAUAAAGGUAAUCUGGUAGGACAUACCCAGUGUCAGCACAUUUAGCAUUUUUGUUCCACUAUGCCUUUAUUUUCUUAUAGCUUGCAUAUAGAGUAGAUACAGGGCUUAUGAGCUGCAAAGGAUGUUAGUUGCAUCUAGAAAUUAAACAGAGAAAAUGACCUCAAGGGAGGAAAAAGAGAGAAGAAAAAAAAAAAGAGUAAACUUAAG
ensembl:lncRNA